UACGUAGGGGCCUAGCGUUGUCCGGAAUUAUUGGGCGUAAAGAGCUCGUAGGCGGUUCGGCAAGUCGGAUGUGAAAUCUCCACGCUCAACGUGGAGGGGCCAUUCGAAACUGCCGUGACUCGAGUCCGGUAGGGGAGUGUGGAAUUCCCGGUGUAGCGGUGAAAUGCGCAGAUAUCGGGAAGAACACCUAUGGCGAAGGCAGCUCUCUGGGACGGUACUGACGCUGAGACGCGAAAGCGUGGGGAGCAAACAGG
rnacentral:rRNA from 1 species